rnacentral:misc_RNA from 1 species
GAAAUGCGAUAAGUAAUGUGAAUUGCAGAAUUCAGUGAAUCAUCGAAUCUUUGAACGCACCUUGCGCUCCUUGGUAUUCCUUGGAGCAUGCCUGUUUGAGUAUCAUGAAAUCUUCAAAGUAAAUCUUUUGUUAACUCAAUUGGUUUCUACUUUGGUAUUGGAGGUCUUUGCAGCUUCACACCUGCUCCUCUUUGUUCAUUAGCUGGAUCUCAGUGUUAUGCUUGGUUCCACUCGGCGUGAUAAGUUAUCUAUCGCUGAGGACACUGUAAAAAGUGGCCAAGGUAAAUGCAGAUGAACCGCUUCUAAUAGUCCAUUGAUUGGACAAUACUUUUAUGAUCUGAUCUCAAAUCAGGUAGGACUACCCGCUGAACUUAAGC